AUACGGGAGGCAGCAGUGGGGAAUCUUAGACAAUGGGGGAAACCCUGAUCUAGCCACGCCGCGUGAGCGAUGAAGGCCUUAGGGUUGUAAAGCUCUUUCGUGGGGGAAGAUAAUGACUGUACCCCAAGAAGAAGCCCCGGCUAACUCCGUGCCAGCAGCCGCGGUAAUACGGAGGGGGCUAGCGUUGUUCGGAAUUACUGGGCGUAAAGCGCACGUAGGCGGACGAGAAAGUCAGGGGUGAAAUCCCGGGGCUCAACCCCGGAACUGCCUUUGAAACUCCUUGUCUUGAGGUCGUGAGAGGUGAGUGGAAUUCCGAGUGUAGAGGUGAAAUUCGUAGAUAUUCGGAGGAACACCAGUGGCGAAGGCGGCUCACUGGCACGAUACUGACGCUGAGGUGCGAAAGCGUGGGGAGCAAACAGGAUUAGAUUCCCCGGUAGUCCG
rnacentral:rRNA from 1 species